GGCGAACGGGUGAGUAAUAUAUCGGAACGUACCCAAGAGUGGGGGAUAACGUAGCGAAAGUUACGCUAAUACCGCAUACGAUCUAAGGAUGAAAGCAGGGGACCGCAAGGCCUUGUGCUCCUGGAGCGGCCGAUAUCUGAUUAGCUAGUUGGUGAGGUAAAGGCUCACCAAGGCCACGAUCAGUAGCUGGUCUGAGAGGACGACCAGCCACACUGGAACUGAGACACGGUCCAAACUCAUAAACGGGAGGCAGCAGUGGGGAAUUUUGGACAAUGGGCGCAAGCCUGAUCCAGCAAUGCCGCGUGAGUGAAGAAGGCCUUCGGGUUGUAAAGCUCUUUUGUCAGGGAAGAAACGGUAGAGGCUAAUAUCCUUUGCUAAUGACGGUACCUGAAGAAUAAGCACCGGCUAACUACGUGCCAGCAGCCGCGG
rnacentral:rRNA from 1 species